rnacentral:lncRNA from 1 species
UGGCAUUUAAAUGUAAUAUUAUCGAAGGUGCUCGCAGUUGCGUCGAAUUGAAGUUGGUCACAUUGGUAUAUUGACAGUUGCUGCUAUGUUUAUUACAUACGUACAGGCGUUGGAGGUAUUAACCGAGGAAAAAGAAAAGAUGCGAAUGAGAAACAAUGUUAUAUAUCAUGGAUUUAUAUGUUAGUGGUUUGAAUCGAAGAAAUAUGUACAAGAAAGUAAAAUAAAAUAUUGUAUCGCAAGAGAAAAUGAUAUGUUACUGCGAGCAACUAAUCCUAUAUCUGUGUUUGUUUUGUUUAUAGCCUAUUGAAUUUAGAGAUUAAAUACUUUAAAUUCGGACGAGCAGGGCGAGGGAGAAUUUAAAUA